rnacentral:rRNA from 1 species
AGCAGUCGCCGCGGUAAUACGUAGGGCGCAAGCGUUAUCCGGAAUUAUUGGGCGUAAAGAGCUCGUAGGCGGUUUGUCGCGUCUGCCGUGAAAGUCCGGGGCUCAACCCCGGAUCUGCGGUGGGUACGGGCAGACUAGAGUGAUGUAGGGGAGACUGGAAUUCCUGGUGUAGCGGUGAAAUGCGCAGAUAUCAGGAGGAACACCGAUGGCGAAGGCAGGUCUCUGGGCAUUAACUGACGCUGAGGAGCGAAAGCAUGGGGAGCGAACAGGAUUAGAUACCCGUGUAGUCCCUGUCUCUUAUAC